rnacentral:rRNA from 1 species
AUUGGCCUAUCAGCUUGUUGGUGGGGUAGUGGCCUACCAAGGCGACGACGGGUAGCCGGCCUGAGAGGGCGACCGGCCACACUGGGACUGAGACACGGCCCAGACUCCUACGGGAGGCAGCAGUGGGGAAUAUUGCGCAAUGGGCGGAAGCCUGACGCAGCGACGCCGCGUGGGGGAUGACGGCCUUCGGGUUGUAAACCUCUUUCAGCAGGGACGAAGUUGACGUGUACCUGUAGAAGAAGCGCCGGCUAACUACGUGCCAGCAGCCGCGGUAAUACGUAGGGCGCAAGCGUUGUCCGGAAUUAUUGGGCGUAAAGAGCUCGUAGGUGGCUUGUCGCGUCUGCCGUGAAAGCCCAUGGCUUAACUGUGGGUCUGCGGUGGAUACGGGCUGGCUAGAGGUAGGUAGGGGCAAGCGGAAUUCCUGGUGUAGCGGUGAAAUGCGCAGAUAUCAGGAGGAACACCGGUGGCGAAGGCGGCUUGCUGGGCCUUACCUGACGCUGAGGAGCGAAAGCGUGGGGAGCGAACAGGAUUAGAUACCCUGGUAGUCCACGCUGUAAACGUUGGGCGCUAGGUGUGGGGUCCUUCCACGGAUUCCGUGCCGGAGCUAACGCAUUAAGCGCCCCGCCUGGGGAGUACGG